ACGGGACUGCCCGGUGCGCGCCUUUGCGAACAUCCCUGAGGCGAUUACACAUCCAUGGGGGUUGUCCCUGAGCAGGCCCUGGCCUGUCUUAUAUGGCCCCCACCUGACGUUAAAGGCGUCAGAGGAUAUUCCGGCAAACGGCCAUGGCGGUUCCGUC
rnacentral:other from 1 species